UCCAGAUCACAACAUGAUAAGGGAGAGGAAGGAGAACUGCGCAGUCACAGCAGCUGCAUCUAGCUCUGAACAUUGCCUAGCUCUUGCGACCUGCCCCUUGUGUAGUCACUGUUGCCAGCUGGUAACAGGAACGGUGAGGGAAUAUGCAUACGCUCUGAAAGAAAGUGAAGACUCGCUCCUGCUCUGGCUUGGCUGUGCAAACAUCGUGGCAGAGGCAAACUAUUCUGAAGAAAGAAAUCAACCGACGCAUUCAGUCUGGAGGAAUCCCCCAGGGUACCAGUGGGAUGCAUUAACAGUGCAUUUCUCCGGUGAGAUGUGAUGGGAAGAGCAUAGAGCAAAAAGAAGCAGUUUUGUUUUUUGUUAACACAAGCCGAGAGAAGAUGAAGAAACAACCUCUCCAAGGAUACAGACUGACAGCAAUACUGCCAUCUGACUAGAAAGGACUCAGACAUACGCAUAAUCCUCAGGAAAAUUCAUCUCCACCCUCCCAGCAGACCCUGGUGAGAGAGCCCUUGAAGUGGUAAUUAAAGUCUAUUGAGUGGCAACUGCACCUGUUUAGAAAGGAGCAUGUGGGUAAGAGGUGCACAAAGGGAGAUGAGCAGCACAGAGAGAGAGUGUGUGAGAGGAGCUGCUAGAGGUGGGGAAGAAGGGAAGCAGAA